rnacentral:rRNA from 1 species
GACGUAGGGCGCGAGCGUUGUCCGGAUUUAUUGGGCGUAAAGAGCUCGUAGGCGGCUUGUUGCGUCAGCUGUGAAAACCCGCAGCUCAACCUCGGGCCUGCAGUGGGUACGGGCAGACCAGAGUGCGGUAGGGGAGAUUGGAAUUCCUGGUGUAGCGGUGGAAUGCGCAGAUAUCAGGAGGAACACCAAUGGCGAAGGCAGAUCUCUGGGCCGUAACUGACGCUGAGGAGCGAAAGCAUGGGGAGCAAACAGG